rnacentral:lncRNA from 1 species
CAGCUAAUAUAUCUUAUAUAAACUAUUAUUAGGUCUUUCAACCUUUCAGUUGAAAGACCUAUAGGGUUUGUUCUGAUUAUUAGGUCUUUCAACCUUUCUGUUGAAAGACCUAUUGUAUUCGUUCUGAUUAUUAGGUCUUUCAACCUUUCAGGUGAAAGACCUAAAGGGUUUGUUCUGAUUAUUAUUAUUAUUAUUAUUAUUAUUAUUAUUAUUUUUUUUUUUUUUUUCUUCCGCCAACUUUUUUUUCCUUCGCUGUUUUUUUUUUUUCACAAGAUGUCGCUUAGAUAUUUGGUAUAUGAUAUCGAACAGUUAAUGCGCUUCUGAAACUGACACCGCGUAACAAAAACCUUUACCUUGUAAGAGUUAUCUCCCCAAACACUGUUUUUCUUGUGGCCACUACUACUUCGCAACCGUAUAAGAAACCGACAAAUUUAUUUUUCCAAAUUGCUCGUUAUAUCCUUAGGAUGUUCUGUUUCAUUUCAACGGAAGCUAUCCGGAGACUCCAUAUGAGAGUUAUCCCCCUUUUAUAUAUGAUAUCAGUGAUAUGCAUUUCUAACUGGUAAACUAUAAGUGAUAGAGACCUAGGGUCUUUUGAUUUAAGAUCCUUGGUCCAAAAAAAUGAAAAUUAGGUCAAGGUCAAAGGUCAAGGUCAAAUUCUUAAUUUUGAUUUUGGCUUAUUUUCACCUUUUUUCAUUAACCUUAUAAGAUAUCGACAAUUUUUUUACUAAAUUGUUAGUUGCGACAUGUCGUAACUUAUAAAAUUUUGGUUGCGAGGGUGCGUAAACAAUAAAAGGGAGUUUUCGCCCCUCUUAUAUUAAGAAUUAUGCGUAAAGUGAUUUUACUCAUGAACCAUACAUAUUAAGGAACUAGUGUCUUUUUAUUUGAGAUGUUUAGUCUAUGACCUUGAAAUUGAGGUCAAGGUCAUAGGUUAAUUGGACGUUCUAGAUUUUGACCUUUGCUUAAAAUUCAUAUUUAUACAUCAUUAAGCCAUAGGAACUGACAUUUUCAACUGAAUUUUAAUAUUUUCAUAUCUAAAUAGAUCCUUAUUGGUUGAAAGACCUUCAAUUGUUCUUUGAACAAUUGGUUUUUAAUUAUUAUUAUUAUAUUUAUUAUUUUUAUUUUUUUUCUUCCGCCAACUUUUUUUUCCUUCGCUGUUUUUUUGUUUCACAAGAUGUCGCUUAGAUAUUUGGUAUAUUAUAUCGAACAGUUAAUGCGCUUCUGAAACUGACACCGCGUAACAAAAACCUUUACCUUGUAAGAGUUAUCUCCCCGAACACUGUUUUUCUUGUGGCCACUAAGGCUUCGCAACCGUAUAAGAAACCGACAAAUUUAUUUUUCCAAAUUGCUCGUUAUAUCCUCAGGAUGUUCUGUUUCAUUUUGACCGAAGCUAUCCGGAGACUCCAUAUGAGAGUUAUCCCCCCUUUUAUAUAUGAUAUAAGUGAUAUGCAUUUCUAACUGGUAAACCAUAAGUGAUAGAGACCUAGGGUCUUUUGAUUUUAGAUCCUUGGUCCAAAAAAAUGAAAAUUAGGUCAAGGUCAAAGGUCAAGGUCAAAUUUUAAAUUUUGAUUUUUGCUUAUUUUCACUUAUUUUCAAUUACUUAAUAAGAUUUCGACAAAUUAUUUUUACUAAAUUGUUAGUUGCGACAUGUCGUUACUUAUAAAUUUUGGUUACAAGGGUGCGUAGACAAUAAAUGGGAGUUUUCGCCCCUCUUAUAUUUAGAAUUAUGCGUAAAGUGAUAUUACUCAUGAACCAUACAUAAUACAGACCUAGGGUCUUUUGAUUUGGGAUCCUAUGUUUAUGACCUUGAAAUUGAGGUCAAGGUCAUAGGUAAAUUGGACGUUCUAGAUUUUGACCUUUGGUCGAAAUUCAUUUUUAUACAUCAUAAAGCCAUAGGAACUGACAUUUUCAACUGAAUCUUUAUAUUUUCAUAUCAAAAUACAUCCUUAUUGGUUGAAAGACCUUCAAUUGUUCUUUGAACAAUUGGUUUUUAAUUAUUAUUAUUUUUUUUUUUUUCUUCCGCCAACUUUUUUUUCCUUCGCUGUUUUUUUGUUUCACAAGAUGUCGCUUAGAUAUAAGGUAAAUGAUAUCGAACAGUUAAUACGCUUCUGAAACUGACACCGCGUAACAAAAAACUUUACCUUGUAAGAGUUAUCUCCCCGAACACUGUUUUUCUUGUGGCCACUACUCCUUCGCAACCGUAUAAGAAACCGACAAAUUUAUUUUUCCAAAUUGCUCGUUAUAUCCUUAGGAUGUUCUGUUUCAUUUCAACCGAAGCUAUCCGGAGACUCCAUAUGAGAGUUAUCCCCCUUUUAUAUAUGAUAUCAGUGAUAUGCAUUUUAAACUGGUAAACUAUAAGUGAUAGAGACCUAGGGUCUUUUGAUUUAAGAUCCUUGGUCCAAAAAAAUGAAAAUUAGGUCAAGGUCAAAGGUCAAGGUCAAAUUCUAAAUUUUGAUUUUGGCUUAUUUUCACCUUUUUUCAUUAACCUUAUAAGAUAUCGACAAUUUUUUUUUACUAAAUUGUUAGUUGCGACAUGUCGUAACUUAUAAAUUUUGGUUGCAAGGGUGCGUAAACAAUAAAAGGGAGUUUUCGCCCCUCUUAUAUUAAGAAUUAUGCGUAAAGUGAUUUUACUCAUGAACCAUACAUAUUAAGGAACUAGUGUCUUUUUAUUUGAGAUGUUUAGUCUAUGACCUUGAAAUUGAGGUCAAGGUCAUAGGUUAAUUGGACGUUCUAGAUUUUGACCUUUGCUUAAAAUUCAUAUGUAUACAUCAUUAAGCCAUAGGAACUGACAUUUUCAACUGAUUCUUUAUAUUUUCAUAUCAAAAUACAUCCUUAUUGGUUGAAAGACCUUCAAUUGUUCUUUGAACAAUUGGUUUUUAAUUAUU